rnacentral:rRNA from 1 species
GAGUUUGAUCAUGGCUCAGAUUGAACGCUGGCGGCAGGCCUAACACAUGCAAGUCGAACGGUAACAGGAUAGCUUGCUAUCGCUGACGAGUGGCGGACGGGUGAGUAAUACUUAGGGAUCUGCCUCUGUGUGGGGGAUAACUAUUGGAAACGAUAGCUAAUACCGCAUAAUGUCUACGGACCAAAGCGGGCUUCGGCUCGUGCGCAGAGAGGAACCUAAGCGAGAUUAGCUAGUUGGUGAGGUAAAGGCUCACCAAGGCGACGAUCUCUAGCUGUUCUGAGAGGAAGAUCAGCCACACUGGAACUGAGACACGGUCCAGACUCCUACGGGAGGCAGCAGUGGGGAAUAUUGCACAAUGGGGGAAACCCUGAUGCAGCCAUGCCGCGUGUGUGAAGAAGGCCUUCGGGUUGUAAAGCACUUUCAGUUGUGAGGAAAGUUUAGUAGUUAAUACCUGCUAGAUGUGACGUUAGCAACAGAAGAAGCACCGGCUAACUCCGUGCCAGCAGCCGCGGUAAUACGGAGGGUGCGAGCGUUAAUCGGAAUUACUGGGCGUAAAGCGCACGCAGGCGGUCUGUUAAGCUAGAUGUGAAAGCCCCGCGCUCAACGUGGGAGGGUCAUUUAGAACUGGCAGACUAGAGUCUUGGAGAGGGGAGUGGAAUUCCAGGUGUAGCGGUGAAAUGCGUAGAGAUCUGGAGGAACAUCAAUGGCGAAGGCAACUCCCUGGCCCAAAGACUGACGCUCAUGUGCGAAAGUGUGGGGUAGCGAACAGGAUUAGAUACCCUGGUAGUCCACACCGUAAACGCUGUCUACUAGCUGUUUGUGAAUUUAAUUCGUGAGUACGAAGCUACGCGAUAAGUAGACCGGCCUGGGGAGUACGGCCGCAAGG